AUUGAACGCUGGCGGUCUGCUUAACACAUGCAAGUCGGACGGCAGCACAGUAUGUAGCAAUACAUAUGUGUGGCGAGUGGCGGACGGGUGAGUAACGCGUAGGAAUCUACCCUAAAGCGGGGGACAACGCGAGGAAACUCGGGCUCAUACCGCAUAAUCUCGAAAGAGUAAAGCUGGGGCAACCUGGCACUUUAGGAGGAGCCUGCGUCCGAUUAGCUAGUUGGUGAGGUAAAGGCUCACCAAGGCGAUGAUCGGUGGCUGGUCUGAGAGGAUGAUCAGCCACACUGGGACUGAGACACGGCCCAGACUCCUACGGGAGGCAGCAGUGGGGAAUAUUGGACAAUGGGGGCAACCCUGAUCCAGCAAUACCGCGUGUGUGAAGAAGGCCUUAGGGUUGUAAAGCACUUUAGUUGGGGAAGAAGGAUAGUUGUUUAGGAGAUGAUUAUUUUGACGGUACCCAAAGAAUAAGCACCGGCUAACUCUGUGCCAGCCGCCGCCGUAA
rnacentral:rRNA from 1 species